UGUAGAUCAACACCCACGAAAUAAAUUCAACCAUCAGGGCAUUGAAGAUGGAACACCCCAUAAUAAAAAAGAGUUCACCAAGCGCCAUUUUUUCCUUUUUCUACUCUCUUUCUUUCUCUUUACUUUUUUUUUUCCUCUUCUCUUU
rnacentral:ribozyme from 13 species